ensembl:snoRNA small nucleolar RNA SNORD58
CUGCGAUGAUGUCAUAUCUUAGGACACCUUUGGAUUAAUCAUGAAAAUAACUAUCCUCUGAGCAGC